UACGUAGGGGGCAAGCGUUGUCCGGAUUUAUUGGGCGUAAAGAGCGUGUAGGCGGCCGUACAGGUCAGCUGUGAAAACUCGAGGCUCAACCUCGAGACGUCGGUUGAAACCGUACGGCUAGAGUCCGGAAGAGGGGAGUGGAAUUCCCGGUGUAGCGGUGAAAUGCGCAGAUAUCGGGAAGAACACCCGUGGCGAAGGCGGCUCUCUGGGACGGUACUGACGCUGAGACGCGAAAGCGUGGGGAGCGAACAGG
rnacentral:rRNA from 1 species